rnacentral:lncRNA from 1 species
UAUCUUUUUAUCCACCUCCUAUUGUCUAAACUUUAGACUGAAGUUCUUCAGAAGCUAAAAACACUGCAAGACAAAUCACACUUUUUUUUUCCAAACAGACAUGAACUAUAUCAUCAUUCGACUUUACCAAAAAAACUAUAUAAUCAUUCGAACACAAGCAAAAACCACAGGAUAAAGAUUUCACAAUCAAAGGUCGGAGAAUUAUAGAUUUGCCAGGGUAUUAAAGGGGGAAGCUUCUCUACUCUACGUCAGAAAAAUGAACCACAAUAAAUUCAGAAACCCUAAAGAGGGAUGAGAGCGCAAAGGCAAAAACAAAAAACCUGGAAGGAAAGCAAAGGGAUAUUUGGCAGCUGACGGAUCUCUCUUUAUUUUGUGGCCACAAACAUAAAAAGAAAAAAAAAAAAAACCUUACCAUUCGAAAUUCAACGAUCUUCUACUUAGGGCAAAUAUGGUGUGAGCUACCCAUGAAAAGGAAAUGCAAACAAAAAAGGAAAGAAAUAAGGAGGAAAGCAAAGCAUUCAGGUUCAACCGAAACGGCAUGGUCAAUUUGGUAAAGAAGAUUCAAAGAGGCAGAAGGAUUAUCUUUUUUUGAUAAAAUUAAGAAAAAGAAAGUAGAGAGAGAGAAGAUAUUUUGUUUUUUGGUUUUUUUUGCGGUGAUCUCGUAGUUCCUACGGGGUGGAGACGAUGGGGUCAAAACAUAUAUUAUGCCAAUGGGUUUCAGCUUCGGCUGUUGUGGCCUGCGUGACAUUCG